rnacentral:lncRNA from 1 species
UUAAGACGAUCUUGGUCAAGUCGAUCUUAUUCAAACAAGAUCGUUUUAAGAUUAGUAGGUUUCAUAGUCGUGAAAUAAGACGAUCUUCACGAAUAAGAUGUUGCUCAAUUAAAUCUUAUUUGUUUUGAGAUCGACUUGGCGAAGACAAGCUUAAGUUCCCGAAUCGGUUGUUUCCGUAUUAUUUCCGUUAGAUCUUUCAAUAGGAAUAGAGUUAUUUUAUGAACCACUUAUCAUCUUGUGCAAUAUUAGCCAUACCUUUGAAAAGUUACGUUAUGUAUAAUAUCGUAUAACUAUAACCUAAAUACGGUAUUGUUUUACAUCUAUAAUUUGUAUUACAUCUUUCAAGAUAAUAAUUUCAAUAAGAAAUACGAAGUAUUAGGAACAAACACUAUACACCCAUGGAAAGGAAAGUAUUUUUACAAAUAUUGGAUUCAUUUAAACAUAUCAUAGAAAUAAGAAAAAGUGAUGGUACUAUUAUAACCGAAAAAGAAAAGAACUAGCAUAGACAAAUAUUUGCAGUAGAUAUAAUGAAUCUGCAUUAAUACUUAAGAGAGGACCAUCCAACAAUUAAAAAUACUAUAGAUGAAUAUAAAACAAGCUCAACGAGAGCUCAACAAGAGAAACAAUCACAAAAGAGAAACAACCACAUAUGGUCACUGGUGGUGGUCCACAAGAAGCAGAAGCAAACCUGAUGUUGCUAAUAUUGCACCACAUUUGAUGACAACUGCACCUGUUUUAUUUACAUCAAAUAUGAUGGACAGAAAAAUUGACAAUCAAUAUGUCAUAGCAUUUCAAUUUAUAUUAGUAGGUGAAAAGUAGGUGAAAAUGAAUCAUGAAAUGAUGAAGAAAAUGUAGCCUAUAUGGAGAAUGAUAUAAGAACUAUCGUUUCACAAAGUACAUCUACUAUUAUAGAAGAUAGUAAUAAAGAAUGUAAAACUUCACAGAGUACAAAUACAGUGGAAUUUUAUCCUCUAAACAAAGAUAACACAACAUCACAUAGUAAAAAACGAGAGAAGAAAUUAUAGAAUUUUCCAAUACUGAAGAAAAUAUAAGAAUAAAUCGUAUAUGUAUAGUAUAUCUGGUUAAAACGUGCUAGGGUCAAGGACGAACUAAGAGUCUUUGUUAUCUUUGUAUGUUUAUUAAAUAUUGAGAGAAAAAGAUAACCAGUGAUGUGUCUACAAUACAUCUUCCCGAAGUGAUAGGUUCAAGGUGAUCUAAAGACUGAAAUAGAGAAAGAAAGAGAGACGCAGUAUGCGUCCUCACUACUUCACCCCGCAGGGGUUCAUAGGCGAGCUUGAGGUUAAGAGAGAGAAAGAGGGACGUUAAAAAUCGCCCUCACCACCUCAUCCCGCAAGGGUUCACAGGCGAACGUCAAGCUAAGAGAGAGAGAAAGAGAGAGAGACGCAGUAUGCGUUCUCUGCACUUCACCCCGCACGAGGAGUUUAUAUGCGAGCCAGAGGCUUAGAGAGAGAAAGAGAGAGACGCAAUAUGAGUCCUCUGCACUUCGUCCCGUACGAGGGGUUCAUAUGCAAGCCUCAGGCUGAGAGAGAGAGGAAAGAGAGAGAGAG